rnacentral:rRNA from 1 species
GAUGAACGCUGGCGGCGUGCCUAAUACAUGCAAGUCGAGCGAAUGAUGAGGAGCUUGCUCCUCUGAUUUAGCGGCGGACGGGUGAGUAACACGUGGGUAAUCUGCCUGUAAGACGGGGAUAACUCCGGGAAACCGGGGCUAAUACCGGAUAACAAGAGAAAAAGCAUUUCUUCUUUUUGAAAGUCGGUUUUGGCUGACACUUACAGAUGAGCCCGCGGCGCAUUAGCUAGUUGGUGAGGUAACGGCUCACCAAGGCGACGAGGGGUAGCCGACCUGAGAGGGUGAUCGGCCACACUGGGACUGAGACACGGCCCAGACUCCUACGGGAGGCAGCAGUAGGGAAUCUUCGGCAAUGGGCGAAAGCCUGACCGAGCAACGCCGCGUGAGCGAUGAAGGCCUUCGGGUCGUAAAGCUCUGUUGUUAGAGAAGAACAAGUACGAGAGUAACUGCUCGUACCUUGACGGUACCUAACCAGAAAGCCACGGCUAACUACGUGCCAGCAGCCGCAGUAA